GUCCUCAUGUUUUUAUUUGAGGUUUGGCCUGCCCGGUGAUUUUAAUUUAACGGCCGCGGUAUAUUGACCGUGCAAAGGUAGCAUAAUCAUUAGUCUUUUAAUAGGAGGCUGGAAUGAAAGGUUUAACGAAAAAUUAGCUGUCUCAAUUAUAAAUUUGAAUUUAACUUUUAAGUUAAAAGGCUUAAAUUUUUUUGUAGGACGAGAAGACCCUAUAGAGCUUUACAUUUAAUAUUUUGUUAUAUUGAUUUAGAUUAAUACUUUUAAUUAACUUUAAAAAAUGUUUUGUUGGGGUGACAAGAAAUAUAUAUUUAACUUUUAUUAUUAUAUUUUCAUUAAUUUAUGGUUAUUGGAUCCAAAAUUUUUGAUCAUUAGAAUAAGUUACCUUAGGGAUAACAGCGUAAUCUUCCCUCAGAGUUCAAAUUUACGGGAAGGCUUGCGACCUCGAUGUUGGAUUAAGAUAACAAUUGGGUGCAGUAGCUCAAUUUGUAGGUCUGUUCGACCUUUAAAUUCUU
rnacentral:rRNA from 1 species